GACGUAGGGCGCAAGCGUUAUCCGGAAUUAUUGGGCGUAAAGAGCUCGUAGGCGGUUUGUCGCGUCGACUGUGAAAACCUGGGGCUUAACUCUGGGCCUGCAGUCGAUACGGGCAGACUUGAGUUCGGUAGGGGAGACUGGAAUUCCUGGUGUAGCGGUGAAAUGCGCAGAUAUCAGGAGGAACACCGGUGGCGAAGGCGGCAUCCUGGACUGUAACUGACACUGAGGAACGAAAGCCAGGGGAGCAAACGGG
rnacentral:rRNA from 1 species